rnacentral:rRNA from 1 species
CCUACGGGAGGCAGCAGUGGGGAAUAUUGCACAAUGGACGAAAGUCUGAUGCAGCAACGCCGCGUGAGGGACGAAGGCCUUCGGGUUGUAAACCUCUUUUAGCAGGGAAGAAGCGAAAGUGACGGUACCUGCAGAAAAAGCACCGGCUAACUACGUGCCAGCAGCCGCGGUAAUACGUAGGGUGCAAGCGUUGUCCGGAAUUAUUGGGCGUAAAGAGCUCGUAGGCGAUUUGUCGCGUCUGCUGUGAAAUUUCGAGGCUCAACCUCGAACUUGCAGUGGGUACGGGCAGGCUAGAGUGCAGUAGGGGAGAUGGGAAUUCCUGGUGUAGCGGUGGAAUGCGCAGAUAUCAGGAGGAACACCAAUGGCGAAGGCACAUUUNUGGGCUGUAANUGACGCUNAGGAGCGAAAGCGUGGGGAGCGAACCNGGAUUAGAUACCCUGNUAGUCCACNCCGUAAACGGUGGGUGCUAGCUGUGGGCCACAUUCCACGUGGUCCGUGACGAAGUUAACACAUUAAGCACCCCGCCUGGGGAGUACGGCCGCAAGGCUAAAACUCAAAGGAAUUGACGGGG